rnacentral:rRNA from 1 species
GCUAUCUGCAGUCGAGGGGCAGCACAGGUAGCAAUACUGGGUGGCGACCGGCAAACGGGUGCGGAACACGUACGUAACCUUCCUUUAAGUGGGAGAUAGCCCGAAGAAAUUCGGAUUAAUACCCCAUAAGAUUGUGGAGUGGCAUCACUCAGCAAUUAAAGAAUUUCGCUUAAAGAUGGGCGUGCGGCUGAUUAGGUAGUUGGUGAGGUAACGGCUCACCAAGCCAACGAUCAGUAACUGGCGUGAGAGCGCGACCAGUCACACGGGCACUGAGACACGGGCCCGACUCCUACGGGAGGCAGCAGUAAGGAAUAUUGGUCAAUGGACGCAAGUCUGAACCAGCCAUGCCGCGUGAAGGAUGAAGGUCCUCUGGAUUGUAAACUUCUUUUAUAUGGGAAGAAACCAUCUUUUUCUAAGGGUGUUGACGGUACCAUAGGAAUAAGCACCGGCUAACUCCGUGCCAGCAGCCGCGGUAAUACGGAGGGUGCAAGCGUUAUCCGGAUUCACUGGGUUUAAAGGGUGCGUAGGCGGAUUAGUAAGUCCGUGGUGAAAUCUCCGAGCUUAACUCGGAAACUGCCGUGGAUACUAUUAAUCUUGAAUACUGUGGAGGUUAGCGGAAUAUGUCAUGUAGCGGUGAAAUGCAUAGAUAUGACAUAGAACACCAAUUGCGAAGGCAGCUGGCUACACAGAGAUUGACGCUGAGGCACGAAAGCGUGGGGAUCAAACAGGAUUAGAUACCCUGGUAGUCCACGCCCUAAACGAUGAUUACUCGACAUUUGCGAUAUACAGUAAGUGUCUGAGCGAAAGCAUUAAGUAAUCCACCUGGGAAGUACGACCGCAAGGUUGAAAC